GGUCGCAUGGUGUAGUUGGUUAUCAUGUCAGCUUAACAUGGAACCAUUUGAGCCCUUAGGUUCAUCUGGUCGAAAACCUUCGCUGAAGGUCCUCAGUUCAAUACUGAGUGUGAUCA